rnacentral:tRNA from 2 species
GGAAAAGAAGCUCAGUUGGUUAGAGUAACAACUUGUCACGCUAUAAGUCACGGGUUCAAGUCCUGUUUUUCCCG